rnacentral:rRNA from 1 species
UACGUAGGGUGCAAGCGUUGUCCGGAAUUAUUGGGCGUAAAGAGCUCGUAGGCGGUCUGUCGCGUCUGCUGUGAAAACUCAGGGCUUAACCCUGAGCUUGCAGUGGGUACGGGCAGACUAGAGUGCGGUAGGGGAGACUGGAAUUCCUGGUGUAGCGGUGAAAUGCGCAGAUAUCAGGAGGAACACCGAUGGCGAAGGCAGCUCGCUGGGACGGUACUGACGCUGAGACGCGAAAGCGUGGGGAGCGAACAGG